AAAACGGACAGCUGGACGUUCAGAAGCACGAACCCGGUCAGAUUCGGAAGAAAGCAGCCGUAGUGAAGAACGGACGGGUCGGCUGUCUCCUGUUUGGA
rnacentral:SRP_RNA from 1 species